UUCUAUAUUGCUGGCGAUGGUCCCCGCAGCCUUAAGCUGGCUCGGGGGUAAAAGGGAACGCGGUACGGCUUUCGAAAAGAGGGUCAAAUCCGCGGCUGCCCCCGCAACUGUAGGCGGAGAGGGUUCGACCCUGGUGAUGCCACUGGCCACGCGACGGCUGGGAAGGCUAUGUCGAACCUUAUGACCCGCAAGUCAGGAGACCUGCCAUCACGAGAGCCGUUGCG
rnacentral:ncRNA from 1 species